AAACAGAGGCCAUGCAACCUGAGAAACACAGCACAGAGUGGUUUUAUUUGGAGUUAAGAAGCUUGAGAUAUUUCUCUUUUUGUGAUGCUGGGGAUGAAGCUCAUGGUAUUGCUCAUUUUAUGUAAGUACUCUGCAACUGAACCCUAUCCUUAGUCCAUGUUUCUUAUCAUUUGUUUGCUUUUUGGCAUAGAGUCUCAGUAUAUAGCUAGGACUUCAACCUGUUAACCCCUUUGCCUCUGCCUUCUGAAAGCUAAUAUUACAGAUGUGAGGCACCAUAGCUGACAGAAGUAUUUGUGGCAUAUAAUUGUAUAUUAUGAUGCAUUUAAAAGUGUAUGGUGCUAGAGACUGAAGCCAGGACCAUAAAGUAAGAGCUAGACCACUGAGUAACAUCCUUAGCUCAGGCUAUUUUUCAAAUACUCAUUUACCAUCAAUAUUUUAGGGUUGGAUUUUUAGAAUCUGUAGUAACAGAGGAAUAUGUUCAUUUAUCCCUUUAUUUUUCCAUAUAAAUAGACUUAAGAAUGUUGUCUGUUGCGUGGAGAGUUCUUGUAUAUUAAGCACUCCUCAUUUUAUUAAAUAUAGAUUAUAAAUGCAAUACUUUUAUGAGUUUGGAAUGAUGCUCUUCUUAGAGCAGGUAGAUACUAAACAUAUGAAUAGUAGAUUUCUAUCCAUUGACCUUCAGGCUACAGUACAGCUCUGGGCCUGAUACAGAGCACUGUACAGACAACCUACUGACCUCAUAAUAGGCCCAGGUGCCAGACUCUUCUGUGUAGGGCCCUAGUGUACCAGCACUAGCAGUAGGAGCACUUAUUCCAUUGUUGGAGGGGUCACUCAGGGUGAAGGUUUGUCCAUAUGCUGGGAAUCCAACAAUGAGCUUCUCAGGUGCUGCCCCAUUUUCAUUCCAGUAGGUCAUGAUGUAAUCCUGCAGUGGCAGAAGGACAGUGAAGAGAUGUUUGUCCCUAGAAGGGCUUCCACGAGACCCAGGGAACUGCCAGUCC